UACGUAGGUGGCAAGCGUUGUCCGGAUUUAUUGGGUUUAAAGGGUGCGUAGGCGGCCCUGUAAGUCAGUGCUGAAGAUACCCCGGCUUAACCGGGGGGGGUGGCAUUGAUACUGGCAGGGCUUGAGUACAGAUGAGGUAGGCGGAAUUGACGGUGUAGCGGUGAAAUGCAUAGAUAUCGUCAAGAACACCUAUAGCGAAGGCAGCUUACUGGGCUGUAACUGACGCUGGAGGCACGAAAGCGUGGGGAGCGAACAGG
rnacentral:rRNA from 1 species